CAGAACCAAUAUGAUUGGUUCACUAAAAAUAACCCUUUCUAAGAUGAUGAGAUUCUGGACUUCAUCAUUUCUUCCCUUCCCAAUUUUAUUUUUAAUGAGACGAAAUCCAAAUAUGAGAUUGUUCUUCAUGUAAAAGGAAGUCAAAUCUCAAACAAUGACCUCUCAAUCACACACAUGCAUCACCUUUAUCUACAGGGGCAAAUGUUAUAGAAGGAUUGUGGAAACACUAAUCUAGAGAGUCCAAAUUAAAAUUGUGCAAAUCUCUAACCAUGUCCAACAUGGAAUCUAUUACAUAAAUAAGGUUGCGCCGAAAAAGCUAGCAAAAUUUACAUGUGCUUAAAAGUGACAU